UCCCUGGUAGCUCAGCUGUUAAAGCGUCUGCCUGCAAUGCGGGAGACCCGGGUUCGAUCCCUGGGUUGGGAA
rfam:Ovis aries breed Texel chromosome 4, whole genome shotgun sequence.